GAACUUAAGCAUAUCAAUAAGCGGAGGAAAAGAAACCAACAGGGAUUGCCUCAGUAACGGCGAGUGAAGCGGCAACAGCUCAAAUUUGAAAUCUGCCUCUAGGCCGAGUUGUAAUUUGUAGAAGAUGCUUCGGGUGUGGCACUGGUCUAAGUUCCUUGGAACAGGACGUCAUAGAGGGUGAGAAUCCCGUACGUGACUGGCUGCCUUCGCCCAUGUGAAGCUCUUUCGACGAGUCGAGUUGUUUGGGAAUGCAGCUCAAAAUGGGUGGUAUAUUUCAUCUAAAGCUAAAUAUUGGCCAGAGACCGAUAGCGCACAAGUAGAGUGAUCGAAAGAUGAAAAGCACUUUGGAAAGAGAGUUAAACAGUACGUGAAAUUGUUGAAAGGGAAGCGCUUGCAAUCAGACUUGCGCGCCGUCGAUCAUCCGAGGUUUUCCCCGGUGCACUCGGCGGUGCUCAGGCCAGCAUCGGUUUCGGUGGUUAGAUAAAGGCCUUGGGAAUGUGGCUCCUCCGGGAGUGUUAUAGCCCUCGGUGCAAUGUAGCCUACCGAGACCGAGGACCGCGCUUCGGCUAGGAUGCUGGCGUAAUGGUUGUAAGCGACCCGUCUUGAAACACGGACCAAGGAGUCUAACAUCUAUGCGAGUGUUUGGGUGUUAAACCCAUGCGCGUAAUUAACGUGAACGGAGGUGAGAACUCUUAAGGGUGCAUCAUCGACCGAUCCUGAUGUCUUCGGAUGGAUUUGAGUAAGAGCAUAGCUGUUGGGACCCGAAA
rnacentral:rRNA from 1 species